rnacentral:rRNA from 1 species
CCUACGGGUGGCAGCAGUGAGGAAUAUUGGUCAAUGGGCGGGAGCCUGAACCAGCCAAGUCGCGUGAGGGAAGACGGUCCUACGGAUUGUAAACCUCUUUUGCCGGGGAGCAACGGGGUCCUUGCGAGGGCCCAAUGAGAGUACCCGGAGAAAAAGCAUCGACUAACUCCGUGACAGCAGCCGCGGUAAUACGGAGGAUGCGAGCGUUAUCCGGAUUGAUUGGGUUUAAAGGGAGCGUAGGUGGAUUGUUAAGUCAGUUGUGAAAGUUUGCGGCUCAACCGUAAAAUUGCAGUUGAAACUGGCAGUCUUGAGUACAGUAGAGGUGGGCGGAAUUCGUGGUGUAGCGGUGAAAUGCUUAGAUAUCACGAAGAACUCCGAUUGCGAAGGCAGUUCACUGGACUGCAACUGACACUGAGGCUCGAAAGUGUGGGUAUCAAACAGGAUUAGAUACCCCAGUAGUC